GACAUUUUAACUAUAGAAGUAUAUAUUUUGAAAAUAUAAAAAAGAUAACCAUCUAAAUGUCU
rnacentral:tRNA from 1 species